UACGAAGGGGGCUAGCGUUGCUCGGAAUCACUGGGCGUAAAGCGCACGUAGGCGGACUCUUAAGUCAGGGGUGAAAUCCUGGAGCUCAACUCCAGAACUGCCUUUGAUACUGGGAGUCUUGAGUUCGGGAGAGGUGAGUGGAACUGCGAGUGUAGAGGUGAAAUUCGUAGAUAUUCGGAAGAACACCAGUGGCGAAGGCGGCUCACUGGACUGGUAUUGACGCUGAGGUGCG
rnacentral:rRNA from 1 species